AUGGCCGAAAAAGGUGGAAGCGUGUUUGUCACGUACCCGAUGCUGACGAAGAGCAACUACUCGAUUUGGGCGAUCAAGAUGAAGUCGUUGAUGCGUACACAAGGAGUUUGGGAUGCUGUGGAGCCGGCCGCUACCGGCAAGGUGGACGACACGAUGGAUCAAAAGGCGUUGACGGCUAUCUAUCAAAGUAUUCUGGAUGAUGUGUUCGCCUUCAUUGCUGAGAAGGAGACGUCACACGAAGCUUGGGAGGCGAUAAAGACGAAUCGUCUUGGAGAUGAUCGCAUCAAGGAGGCAAGAUUGCAAACCCUCAAAUCUGAGUUUGAUAGGCUCAAGAUGAAAGACACCGAAUCAAUAGAUGACUUCGCUCUCAGGAUGACAACCAUCGCCAAUGGGAUAAGAGGACUUGGAGAAAAGUUUGAUGAGACUAAUGUUGUCAAGAAAAUUCUUCGAGCGGUUCCAUCAAAGUUUCUUUAG
rnacentral:rRNA from 1 species